GCCUAGCUCCCCUGUGGGUGGACCUGGCUGCCAAGUGGGUGGGCCUAGCUCCCCUGUGGGUGGACCUGGCUGCCAAGUGGGUGGGCCUAGCUCCCCUGUGGCUGGGCCUAGCUCCCCUGUGGGUGGACCUGGCUGCCAAGUGGGUGGGCCUGGCUGCCAAGUGGGUGGGCCUAGCUCCCCUGUGCCCUCCCAGGCCCACCCCAUGGCUGCACCCCUGCCCAGUCAUGUGAAUUCCAUAAAUUAAUUUACAGUUCAUAUAAUCAGUAAAUGUAACUCAGUAAAAUCAUUACACAAUGAAACUCUCUCUCCCUCAGUGGACCAAUAACUUGGCAUCAUUGAAACAUCGGUGUUCAUUUUGUCAACAAUAACAAUGUAUUAGUCAAACAAUUUUAACGAGAUGCCAUGAAAACAAUGGAAAUUAAAAUGGGGACGUGACACGUCUAAUGGACAUUCAAGUUGGCAUGAAGCUCCUCGUCGUCGGGUUUGUCCAGUCACAAGGAUGCAUGCUUCUGAAGAAUAUUUAAUAUGAUCCUAUCAUUGGCAGAACACACUGCUUGGCAUCAGGUUGAGGUGACACUGCGUGGCAUCAGGUUGAGGUGACACUGCGUGGCAUCAGGUUGAGGUGACACUGCUUGGCAUCAGGUUGAGGUGACACUGCUUGGCAUCAGGUUGAGGUGACACUGCUUGGCAUCAGGUUGAGGUGACACUGCUUGGCAUCAGGUUGAGGUGACACUGCUUGGCAUCAGGUUGAGGUGACACUGCUUGGCAUCAGGUUGAGGUGACACUGCUUGGCAUCAGGUUGAGGUGACACUGCUUGGCAUCAGGUUGAGGUGACACUGCUUGGCAUCAGGUUGAGGUGACACUGCUUGGCAUCAGGUUGAGGUGACACUGCUUGGCAUCAGGUUGAGGUGACACUGCUUGGCAUCAGGUUGAGGUGACACUGCUUGGCAUCAGGUUGAGGUGACACUGCUUGGUAUCAGGUUGAGGUGACACUGCUUGGCAUCAGGUUGAGGUGACGUCCACACUGCUUGGCAUCAGGUUGAGGUGACGUCCACACUGCUUGGCAUCAGGUUGAGGUGACGUCCACACUGCUUGGCAUCAGGUUGAGGUGACGUCCACACUGCUUGGCAUCAGGUUGAGGUGACGUCCACACUGCUUGGCAUCAGGUUGAGGUGACGUCCACACUGCUUGGCAUCAGGUUGAGGUGACGUCCACACUGCUUGGCAUCAGGUUGAGGUGACGUCCACACUGCUUGGCAUCAGGUUGAGGUGUGCGUGUGUGUGUGUAUACACAUGUUUCCUACAUUACCAGAAUGUUCUGACAAGGUUGGAUAACAAAACUCAAGGCUUUUUUUGUUUCCUGAAUAUGUUAAAAUUAUAUUUUAGGCUUUAGGGUUCGGGUUACGUUUAGGGUUCGGGUUACGUUUAGGGUUCGGGUUACGUUUAGGGUUCGGGUUACGUUUAGGGUUCGGGGGAAAAUAGGACUGUGUGUGUGUCCAUAGUA